GGUAACAACUCAACCGGAAACAGAUGUACCGCCUAUCUCAGUAGAAUUGUGAGUCCAUGUUAUCGGUUGUGAAGAAUUCUGAGAUGUUCUGACUUUUCUGGAUGUGAAAUCAGUAGACGUGCUCACGCUGCCUCGACCGGCAGACGGUUGACUUUCCCACAUGUUCUUGCUCUUGCCCUUGCUCUUGCACUUGCUCUGAUUCUGAUUAAAUUGAUGAUGAUGUUCCUGAAUUUGCGCGUUACGUAAGAUUGUGAUUUACUUAAGAUCUGGGUAAUUACCGACGAACCAUCGAACCUCGUUUUAUCGUGGUACGGGUGGAUUAACCCAACCCACUAGGGGCAGCUUAGAAGUUGCCAUUGCAAUAUCAUGCAGUUGGUUGCGCCGAAUGCGCGGGAUGCGGUGCGUACAGCUGCACAUGGAUGGACUCUGGACCACGGAUUCAUAUUCGUUUAUGGAGCACGUCCAACAAAAAGCGCUGGCGGAUGCCCGAACGUCAAGGCGCAUUCGGGAUAAAAGAAACACACCACUCAAGUAGUGUUAGAAAGAAGUGUCUGGAAUAGGCGGCCUCCCUACCCUAGAGAACGCCCGAUCUGCAUAUCUGUAAUACCCGCCCCCGGUGAAUUUUCCGAGAUUAAACAGAUCUCUUCGUUGGAUUUAACUUGUAACUGUUGUAACUGUAACUGUUGUAAUAUUAAUAAUUUGUAACUGCUGAUUAUCUACCGGCCGGUGUACCUGGAUAUACUCGCGUCACAGUCGCGUGUCCCACAUUUCACCUGUUUCCUGCCGUAUGUUUUCCUCUAUGUAAUCCGAUGAUCAAGCAACAGGCUUUUCCUUUUUAUAUCAAUCGCAAGUUAUAAAUUCGGCGCACCAAAAACUUUACUUGGUAAUAACGUGCGUUCUGUAUGGCUGUUAUUGCUUUGAGAGGACGUUUGAAUUGUCGUUACUUUUUUAUUCGAGCUACUGAAAUACCAAAUACGGCUUAUUAACAAUUAACUGCAGUGCGCUAUUCUAUAUUAAAUAGGCGGUUUGGACCAUCACAAAAGCGUCAAAAGCGUUACGUGAAAACAAGAAUACAAGAAAGAGAACUUGGAGCAAUUAGUAAGGAUCUCCAGAUGCUGAAAUGAUGAAAAGGUCACACCAUUAAUUUAUAACUACAUGUUUUGACCGGUUGCCAAUUAUGAUGCCAUAAAUUUGGCAUGUAGAAAACCUAUUUAGCGCCUUUCGGCUUGACGCAAGGUUAGUAAAUAUCCAAAUUGAUCUCGUUCUGAAAACUCCCAUAUGUACAAUGCAGGCAGUUUUCGAUCGAUAUGGGACACUCGACAUCUGCCCUUUCAUUCUCAUCAUGCACUGUCAAAUCACCCGGAAAGCCUCCUUUUCAAAAUUUGCACCUUGCUCAAAUGUAUGCAAACUCAGCUUACAAAUUGCAUCUCAUAUUGCAGCACAAGACGAACCGAUACAAUUGACCAACACCUGCUCCUGGGCUCCAUAUAAAAUUUUUGUG